rnacentral:tRNA from 1 species
UAUGUUUUAGUAUAUGAUGUAUAGGAAUUUUUGAUGUUUCUGGUAAUAGUUUGAUUCUAUUAAACAUAA